rnacentral:ncRNA from 1 species
GCGACAAAUGGCAAACCCUCCGCGAGGAGGGGACGCAAAGCCACGGGGCCCACCGGGUCAGCCGAGCUACCGAAC